rnacentral:rRNA from 1 species
GGAGUUAGCCGGUGCUUCUUCUGUGAGUGAUGUCCUUCCUGCCGGCUAUUAACCCGCAGGCCUUCUUCCUCACUGAAAGUGCUUUACAACCCGAAGGCCUUCUUCACACACGCGGCAUCGGCUGGAUCAGGGUUGCCCCCCAUUGUCCAAUAUUCCCCACUGCUGCCUCCCGUAGGAGUCUGGGCCGUGUCUCAGUCCCAGUGUGGCUGAUCAUCCUCUCAGACCAGCUACGGAUCGUCGCCUUGGUGAGCCGUUACCUCACCAACCAGCUAAUCCGACAUAGGCUCAUCCGAUAGCGCGAGGCCCGAAGGUCCCCCGCUUUCCCCCGUAGGGCGUAUGCGGUAUUAGCCUGGGUUUCCCCAGGUUAUCCCCCACUACCGGGCAGAUUCCUAUGCAUUACUCACCCGUCCGCCGCUCGCCACCAGGGAGCAAGCUCCCCGUGCUGCCGCUCGACUUGCAUGUGUUAGGCCUGCCGCCAGCGUUCAAUCUGAGCCAGAAUCAAACUCUGA